ensembl:snRNA U6 U6 spliceosomal RNA
GUACUCACUUCUGCAUUACUUAUACUAAAAUUGGACUGUUACAGAGAAGAUUUAGCAUGGCCCCAGUGUAAGAAUAAUAUACAAAUUUGUGAAGCUUUCCAUAUUUUU